rnacentral:rRNA from 1 species
GACGUAGGAGGCGAGCGUUGUCCGGAUUUAUUGGGCGUAAAGCGCGUGUAGGCGGCCAGUUAGGUCCGUUGUGAAAACUCGAGGCUCAACCUCGAGACGCCGAUGGAAACCAUCUGGCUAGAGUCCGGGAGAGGGAUGUGGAAUUCCAGGUGUAGCGGUGAAAUGCGCAGAUAUCAGGAGGAACACCCAUUGCGAAGGCAGCUCGCUGGGACGUUACUGACGCUGAGACGCGAAAGCGUGGGAGCAAACAGG